AGUGCGAUAACUGGGUCAAAUGGUGGUUCCAUUCAAAGUUUUCUGAGGAAUCUCCAUACUGCUUUCCAUAGUGGUUGCAUCAUUUGCAGUACCACCAGCAAU
rnacentral:pre_miRNA from 1 species